UUCAGAAGCUAAAGUCUCUGUGCUGGGGCAUCUCACCUCCAACACAAAUAGUGUCCAAAGAGCCUCUGAAGUACUGAUAUUAUAUGCCAAGACAGCACAGAAAAUCCAGGCAAGAUUAAUUUCUGAUAUUGCAGUUGACUUUACUAGGAAUGCUUUUAACUAAUAGUGGCUGUUUAUAUCCAAGAUGUUCCCUGCUUAAGUUUUAAUAAUGCUGUAUUUACUUGGUUUUACUUUGUUUAUAAUUAUGUAGGUGCUAGUCCAUGCAGUAUGUAGUAUUUUAAGGGUGUAUCUCAACACUGAUAUGUGUAGCAUUUUAAUGAUUUAUAUAGGAUUUGAAUGUGUAUUUUAUAUUGCAUUUAAUAAUCUGGUUUUCAUGUAUUUAUUUGUUUGCGUUAUAUGUGAAAGACCUAGGGUCUAAGCAUUGGAAAAAACUUGCAACAAUAUGCCAAGACAGCUAGUUCUUCUUUCCAUUCUUCUUCGCAUUUUUCAGUGCCUUUUCUUCUUCAUGUCUAGGAUCAGCAAGGAUUGUGAGAACCAUAGCUGUGAGAACUCUACCCCUCAAAUAGUCUAACACAGAGGCUUCUACAAAUUUCAGCUAUUUCAAACAUAAAAAUACAUCACCAGGCUGCUCCCUUGAUGUAUACGUGACAUCAUAGACCACUUCUUAUAAAGAUCAGGAGACCUUUAUGACCUCAUAGAAUUUCUCCAUGCCUGGUGUUCUCAUAUUGAAGCUUCUUUAACAGAAGUACUUCCAGUUGCCUACCAGACAGUAAGGAUGUUUCUUGGAGGCUUCUGUUAUGUGCUCAUCUUGGGGACUGCCAUAUUACUGCCAAAUGUUCUCAGCCACGAAAAAUCGGCCUGGGCAACAACUGGCUUAGAUUUGUCACCUCAAGAAAGAGAACAACUUUGGAAAAGAGAGCAAUCUGAUGUUUGUCUUCUUUUCGGUUUAGACAUUUCAUGAAGGACCAUAGAGGCAUGGUUUAUUCGUAGUGCGCUGCUACUUUUCACAGCUAUUGGUAUUUCUAUCAUCUACAUUUCAUGGAAAUGCAUGAAAAACGUUAAGCCCAGCCAGGCCAUGACCAAGAUACCAGCUGCUGCAGAAGUGAAAAAUGAACGGAUGCUGGAGCAGUUAGUGAAAAACACCCUUGAGAUCAACAAAGGCAUUAAGGAGAUCCAAUGGAUGCAGAGGAGAUUACUAAAAACUCAAUUAACAACAGGAAGAAAUAUCUAUGAAAUGGAGGGCAAGGUUUCAACCCCAAAGUGUUCCUGCUCAGAUUCUGGUCAAAAGGAAGGCAGAAGAGGAGAAAGGGGAAAGGCAGGAAAGAAAAAGGGGAGCGGAGGAGGAAAGAAAAACAGGAAUAUGAGAGUUAGUGAAAGGUAGAAAGGUUUGGGGGGGGGCUG